GGGCCUCUCUCUUCAUUCCCUGCUGGAAACAUCCAUGCUGUGCUUGGCGGAGCUGCGUUUUCCCGUGGCACAGAGCUCCAGGGAAGGGCUCUCCUGCCCUCUCGUGGCGGCCUCGGGGCAGUGGCCUGUGGGGGCCGCCAGCCCUUCCUUCGCUGUGUGAGCCGCUGGUCACAGAAGACUGCGGUGCAGGGAACGGGGCCACUUCCUGAUACUCAGGGACAGAUUUUCUUCUCUUGAGGAAAGGCUCAUAAGACCUCUUCCGGGUCAUUCCUGAUUAGGACUUCCAUCCAGGGGUCAACAAAAGACUCCCCAACCUGAAGGAGGCUGCCCAGGCGGGGAGAAGAAAGGUCAGAGCCCACGGAGAGGCAGAGGGGCGCCAGCCUGGAGUGCCCCCUGCUGCGGCGCCCGGCACGUGGCUCACCUGCUCUCCCGCCUCUGUCACCUGGGAAGAAACAGUGGGCAGGAGGAGCGCGCCCGGGGCCUGAAGCAAGGCCGGGCCUUCGCCAUGGACAAGUGACUUGGGCCUGCUGGAGACGGGGCAUGGACCGUGGCCUCUAGCGUUUGUCCAUCACGUGGCAUUUCUGGGAGCUCGGGACUCCACUCUGACGGAGGAGAGAGGCCAUUUCUUUUACUGUCUCCUGUCUCUGAAGAGAAGGAUGAAGUAAAAGUUGAAAAACAACAGGAAUGAAGUCAGCGGCAAGACCAGCCGGUGCCACCGAUGACCAGGCCUGAGGUUAAAAGAUUACCCCCCCCCCCACUCUAACCACAUGUGAUCUCAAUCUAUCACGACCCUUUCACGUGGACCCCUUAGAGGUGUAAGCCCUUAAAAGGGCCAGGAACUCUGUUUUCGGGGAGCUCGGUUCUUGAGACGCGAGUCUGCCGAAGCUCCCGGCCAAAUAAAGCCAAAUCCUUCCUUAACCUGGUGUCUGAGGGGUUUUGUCCGCAGCUCGUCCUGCUACGUGACCUGCCUGUCUAUCCUCUUACCCACGGCAACCUGCCUUGAUUCCUGCAGCUUUAAAAUAACCCUAUCAGGGUUACAGUAUUUUAAUUUCUGCUUCACAUAGUGUAAAUCAAAAAUAAAACUCUAAGCUUCCCCAACCCACUGAAUGGACCCCCUCAUCUCCACCAGGGGGAUUCUGAAGAACCUGAAAAAUGAGCUCAGGCCACGAAGGGACGGGGAUUGGACAUGGCUCAUUAUACCCACCUCCCUUUGGAGUUCAGGUGCAGCUGACCAGACGGACAGAGCAGACACCAUAGCAGCAAGACACCAAGUUCCAAUCUGACACUGGUAUAGCAUCACGUGAAAACAGGCCCUCAAAGUAUCAGUGUAUUUUACCCCAAAAUAUAUCUCUUUGACAAAUUUUGAAAUGGCCCCGCAAAGCUGUGUCUUGUGGGGAAAUUCAUAUUCUGUAGACUCCCCUUCCCUUUCCAGCUCUUUUUCUGAUCCUGAGGAGACUGGCUGAGAGUCUAGUGCCUUGUGAAGGUCUGAAUAGGAAACAUUUGCCAUGUAUUGCCUCUGAGGGCGGACACCUAUGAGAUUUCAUCCACAUAAUAAGGACCUCGGUCUCCACAGCCCCUUCUCUUAACCCAGACACUCCUUUCUAUUGAUUCCAAGCCUUCAGAUAGUAACUUAAUUCUUUCAACCAACUGCCAAUCAGAAACAUCUUUGAAUCCACCUAUUACCUGGAGACCUUUCCGCUUGGAGUCGUCCUGACUUUCUGGAUCAAUCCAAUGCACACCUCACAUGUACUGACUGAUGUCUUAUGUCUCCCUGAAAUGAAUAAAACCAAGCAGUAAAACAACCGCCUUGGGCCAAGUUCUCAGGACGUCCUGAGGCUGUGUCAUGGGUCAUAUUUGGCUGAGAAUAAAUCUCUUCAAGUAUUUUACAAAGUUUGGCUUUUUUUGUAAACAAUAGACAGAUAUAAAUUCCAUUUGCUAAUUUUUUUAAAUGCUGUGUCUUGGUUCAUGAAAGACAUUGGUCUGUGGUUCUACUGUCUGGUGAUGUCUGACUUUGCUAUCAAGGCAAUGCUGGCCCAUACAUCGAGCAGGGAAGUGCCCCUCCUCGUUCAUCGUCUGAGUGGCUGGAUUCCUAUUAUUUCUUCUCUAAGUAGGAUUCACCAGCUUGGCCCUCUGGGCCUGGAAUUUUCUUUGUGAGAAAAUUUGAUAACAAAUUGAUCUCAAAUUUAACAGAUAAUAAGCAUUAGUAUUUUCUUUUUUGGUAACUGGCAUCCUUCAAGAAAUUCGUCCAAUUAUACCGUUUUGGGGGCUGCCUGCACUAGAGUCAGCGUGGCGUCCCCUCAGAAGGCCGGGUUUGCCAGCGCCGCGCCCCAAGCCAGGUCGGUCGGCCAGUGCUGGUGCCCUCGGGGAACAGCGGGAGCUGCCUGGAGGCUGCGGGGAGCGGCGGCGGCGGGCACGCACCUGGCUCCCGAAACCAGACCUUUAAUAACGCCUCGCAGAAGGGGCGGGGUGGGAGGUUGGCAGCGCAGGGGCGGCAGCCCCGGAUCCCCACGGGUCUCCAGAUCACCCCAUCGAGCCCCGCGCCCUAGCAGCACAGUCCCUCCAGGGCUCCUUGGAGGGCCAGGCCUCAGCCCGGGUGCCCCCUCGCCGGGGCUCCAGGGUUGGGGGCACCCAGGAGGC
rnacentral:lncRNA from 1 species